AGAAGCUGAAAUCAAACCAGAUAUGGAAACAAGGGGCAAGAAAAUGCUAGAACUGUGUAAAGGUAUACCAGGGGCAAUUAUAGCACUUGCAAACUUAUUAGCACGUAACGAUGCAAGUGAGAGGGAGAUCAUGCUGAAAAAUGCCAGAUCAUACCUAUCCCAAGUUAUGACUCCAAGUUAUGAUGAUUUGCCGGAUGAGUCAAAACUAUUUUUUCUGUACUUGGGCCAUUUUAGGGAGGAUCUGGAAAUAGAAACAGAGAAGUUGUCUCACUUAUGGACAAUUGAAGGUUUGAUAUCACCUCGGGAGUGUGGAAGCAAGAUGACACUCUUGGACUUAACUCAAAAGAAUUUAAGGGUUCUAGCACAGAAGGACAUGAUAGAAGUCCAAGAAAUGAAGGAGUCCUGCCGUCUUGUUGGACUAAUGGGAGAUAUGUGCGUCGCAAAAGCAGAAGAGAGUGGCCUUUUGAAGGUCAUCGAUUUGCGAACAGAAGAAAAUCUGUCUUCAUUUUCUUUUAGCAAAACACGUCGUCUAGUCAUUUAUCAAGGGAAAUAUGAUGGUCAUGGCAAGCUCCAACACCGAAACCUUCGGAGUCUUCGAAUCGUUAAGUCAGAUGAGCAGCAUCAACAACUAGACUUUGUAUGGCCCUGGUUCAUAAUGUCGGAUAUUAAGAAACUGCAUGCACUAAGGAUUCUUGAUUUUGACAGGAUGGACUUUCCAGAAGGGAAACUACCGGAAGAUAUUUUUGCUCUAACACUCUUGAGGUAUCUGAGCUUCAAAGGAUGUUUCAUCAAGGAAUUGCCGUCAUCUAUCAGCAACUUGACAUACUUGCAAGUCCUUGAUUUGAGAAUCAAUGAUUUAUGCAAGAUUGUCAUUCCUAAUGUGUUGCGGAGGAUGGGAAGAUUGCAGCAUCUCUAUCUUCCGCGAACAUUUGAGAUGCAAAAUGGAGAAAAACUUCGAUUGGAUGCGUUGUCAGAGCUUCAAACAUUAAAGAACUUCACGCCGAAGGUGUGUGAAAUUCGUGAUCUCUUCAAGUUGGCCAAACUACGGUACUUCUAUGCCAAGGUUGAAGAGAGCCCUGAGGACCUUAAGGAAAUAAUCGACCGUCUAAAACAUGAUUCCAAGAAAUGGAGGUGUUCUUCCCUUGAAAUCAAAAACUUUGACUGUUAUACUGAAAAAAGGCAUAAUCUUUUUCGGGACUUACUAGCUUCUGGGAGGUCACCAAAACUGUUCUUUGAGGGUUAUAUCGAUCAGCUGCCACCACGCAAUCAGAUCUCCAAUGAAUUUACAAUGAUAGUCCUUAGCAGUACUCAACUUAAGGAAGAUCCAUUGGCAACUUUAGGGAAGCUCCCCAAACUAAGGCGUCUAGUACUCCAGGAUGAUGCUUUCACUGGGACAAAGAUGGUCUGUUCUUCUUUAAGUUUUCCCGAACUCAGACAAUUAGAAUUCUCAACUUUGUUCUCUUUGGUGGAAUGGAGGGUGGAAGAUAAGGCCAUGCUCCUGCUUUCUCAUAUCAAAUUUGAGAACUGCAUGCAACUAGUUCUUCAAAAUGAUUUAUCAUUUCUUGAUACACUUCAAGAAAUCAAGAUGAAAAAGAUGCCUGAACCAUUUACAAAAAGGCUUCAUGAUAAAUUUGGCAAACAGGGAGCUGACCAAACUGAUUAUUGGCCUGUCUUAAUUUAGACAAAAUAGAGAUCAGCCCAUGUAAGUACUCGUCACACGCACGGCUGACACUCGUGCAGUCCGCAUAGAGUGCAUCACUACCGGAGCCAAGGAUCCACGGAGGCAGCCCUUCAUAUUUGCCGCCGACAGCUCCUCCAGCAUACAAAAGGUUUCCUUUCGAGGAUGAAAAAUUGCAAGCGCCAGAAGCAAGCAGGGCAUUAGCAUCGAAUGAUAUUGUAAGCAGCCAACAAGAAGCUCCUCAUAUUAUGGUUGAUCCUAAGUUCAAUGAUCUAGAGGGUUGGUUACAUGUUAACGUGAACCUAGUAGUUUCUGUAUAUAUAUUAAGGAAUCCACUAAAUGUCUAUGAGUAUUUGACCAUAAAUUCAGUUAUUAUUGUAGUAAGUAUUAACUUGAGGUCACUGCAACCUAUAAAUUUCAAAUCAUGGAUUCGUCUA